rnacentral:rRNA from 1 species
UACGGAGGGUGCAAGCGUUAUCCGGAUUCACUGGGUUUAAAGGGUGCGUAGGUGGGCAGUUAAGUCAGUGGUGAAAUCUCCGGGCUCAACCCGGAAACUGCCAUUGAUACUGCUGGACUUGAAUUAUUAGGAAGUAACUAGAAUAUGUAGUGUAGCGGUGAAAUGCUUAGAGAUUACAUGGAAUACCAAUUGCGAAGGCAGGUUACUACUAAUGGAUUGACGCUGAUGGACGAAAGCGUGGGUAGCGAACAGG